CUCAUUUAAGGGUUAGCAGCUGAGGAAGCAGAAUUGCUUUGGAUGGAGACUAUGCUUCUUUUGAGCUGCUGCUGGUUGUUGGAAGGGGGGAGUUGGACUUCAGUGAGCUUCAAGGGUCCUUUCCAAUGCAAAUGAUUUCAUGAUGUUUAUGUGUGUGAAGACUUACCUCUCUAGACCUCUAAUAUACAACCACGCAGUGGGGUUCAGGAAAUCAGAAACUUUAAUUUCUGGCAUUACCAUUGCAGAUGUGUGAUUGUGAGGGACCAGGACCCCGAACUCUCCAGCUUCAAGCGCACAGACCUUCACCCUACAGAGGCUGUAUGGAAGCAGGAGGCCCCGUGGACCCAUGGCCAUCACUACUGUGCUGUCUGAGGAUGAAGGCAUCUGGGAUGAGCUGCAUAACGCAACAGAAACAGCACGGUCUUUCUUUGCUUAGAAGUUUCAAGCCAGGAAAUUCCUCAGCCUGCUUGAAAGCUCAGAGACAAAAGUCAGAUUUACACAGCUCACCUCAGCAGUCCAGUGCUUAUGAGAGAAAGUGCUGUAAAUUAUUCUGAGGAAAAAAAAAAGGAAGACUCCUCAUCUUUCUUUCUGAUUGUCACAUUUUAUUUCUGUAGAGAAAACCUGCCAAUUCUUUAUGUGAUUUCAAUAUUUCUAAAAAUGAUCAUAUCAACAGCAUGCACCUUUAUCCGACACAUUCAGCUUCUCAAAUGUGACAUGAGAGUGUAUGAUUUAAUUCUCCCUUUGACAUGAGUGUUGGAUUCUGAUCAGUCUUUCAGUUUACCUCCACUGAUGAUCCAUCCAAAUAAGUGUCAGGGUUCUUUCACGAUAACUCUUUCUCCACCAGUAAGGCAUUAUUUGAAUGUGGCAUUCUCUUGUCCCUUUAAAAAAAAAAAAUCCUAUUCUAAAUUGAUUCACAAGGAUGGAGCAAAAGGGGUUUUAAGAACAGAUUUGAGUUGUUAGCAUGCAUUGUAAAACUAUCAACAGCUUCCUUGGGGUCUAACAGGAAUGCUGAAAACUAUGUCAAAGCUUAUACAAAUAUUUAAGUGGAAGGCUUUCCAAUGUAAAUCUCAAUAAAAUGAAAUCAAAUAUGUGGUGCAGAAAAAGAGAAGUAGAUGACUGUCUCACAUCACUUUUCUAUUUGUCUUUUUGUAAAAUGUUCUCCAAUGGAUGCACGGAUCUGUUUAUGGCAAACUGAAGCAGACCAACAUUAGGCUUAAUGCUUUCAAAGUGCCUCGCAUGACGUUCCCCCAAGCCUUUGGGACCUAUGGAUCAUUAGGAAACUUUUCAAAUGUGUGAUGCUAUGGGAUUCAAACUCUGUAACCACAGGAAAGUGUAUGAUGUAAUUCUC
ensembl:lncRNA